AGGGCCGGAGGAGCCUGGAGUGGUCGAAUCCACUGAGCCCAGGUUCCUUCUGGCCGCA
rnacentral:miRNA from 1 species